rnacentral:rRNA from 1 species
GCCAGCAGCCGCGGUAAUACGUAGGAGGCAAGCGUUGUCCGGAAUUACUGGGUGUAAAGCGCGUGUAGGCGGCAGGCCAAGUCUGCGGUGAAAUCGCCCGGCUCAACUGGGCGGAGUCCGUGGAAACUGGUCGGCUGGAGGACGGUAGAGGUGAGUGGAAUUCCCGGUGUAGUGGUGAAAUGCGUAGAGAUCGGGAAGAACACCCGUGGCGAAGGCGGCUCACUGGGCCGGUCCUGACGCUGAGACGCGAAGGCGUGGGGAGCGAACGGGAUUAGAUACCCCGGUAGUCCACGCAGUAAACGAUGCAUACUAGGUGUGGGGGGUAUCGAGCCCCUCCGUGCCGCAGCUAACGCAGUAAGUAUGCCACCUGGGGAGUACGGCCGCAAGGUUAAAACUCAAAGGAAUUGAUCGGGGGCCCGCACAAG